rnacentral:lncRNA from 1 species
UUGGAUGUAAAUUUCCUUCUUGGGCUUGCCUAGUUAGAGAAAAUAACAAGGUUAAAGUACUUGAAAAUUAAGAAAACUUGCCAUCAAGGAAUAAGUACCAAAUGAUUUUAUUAAUUUAUAAAUGGCUUCUCAUUAGGAGGAUUGAAUACAACCUUCUUGUUAAAGCAAUCUAUGGUGGCGUGAUACACCGCUAGCUAAUCCAUCCCUAAAAUUACAUCAAAAUCCCCCGUGUCUAACCCUAUUAGGUCUACACUCAGUUUUCUAUUUGCUAUCUCCACGACACAAGCCCUGUAGACAACUUUCCCUAAUAGUGUUUCACCCCCAGCAGUAGACACAAAUAACAUUAAAUCAAAU